rnacentral:rRNA from 1 species
CCCUAUUAUUAUUAUUAAAAGUGUGUUUAGGGUAGUAGCUGUUAAGGUCAGGAAACUAAAAGAAUUUGGCGGUAAUUAUUCAGUUUAGAGGAAUAUGUUUUUAAAAUGAUAUUCCACAAAUAUCUUACUUAUUUUUAUUAAUUAUGUAUAUCUCCGUCUAAAAAAGUUUCUUUAAAGUAUAUUUUAAGUUUCUGAAAUGAAAUAAGUCAGGUCAAGAUGCAGAUUAUAAAUAAGUUAAAAUGUAUUACAAUAAAUUUAUUUUUGGAUAGUAAUGAAAAUGUAAUUGAAAUUGGAUUUAAGAGUAAAAUUAUUUGAAUAAUAAUAAUUUGAAUUUUGUUAAUAGUUAUGUCACAUCGCCC